rnacentral:tRNA from 1 species
GCCUUCGAGGUGUAGUGGUCAGCACGCUCGACGCGUUAUCGAGAGGUCAGUGGUUCGAUUCCCGGCGAAGGCG